rnacentral:rRNA from 1 species
AUUGAACGCUGGCGGCAGGCUUAACACAUGCAAGUCGAGCGGAGGUGAGGUGCUUGCACCUUAUCUUAGCGGCGGACGGGUGAGUAAUGCUUAGGAAUCUGCCUAUUAGUGGGGGUCAACAUUCCGAAAGGAAUGCUAAUACCGCAUACGCCCUACGGGGGAAAGCAGGGGAUCUUCGGACCUUGCGCUAAUAGAUGAGCCUAAGUCGGAUUAGCUAGUUGGUGGGGUAAAGGCCUACCAAGGCGACGAUCUGUAGCGGGUCUGAGAGGAUGAUCCGCCACACUGGGACUGAGACACGGCCCAGACUCAUACGGGAGGCAGCAGUGGGGAAUAUUGGACAAUGGGCGGAAGCCUGAUCCAGCCAUGCCGCGUGUGUGAAGAAGGCCUUUUGGUUGUAAAGCACUUUAAGCGAGGAGGAGGCUACCUGGAUUAAUACUCUUGGAUAGUGGACGUUACUCGCAGAAUAAGCACCGGCUAACUCUGUGCCAGCAGCCGCCGUAAAAC